GUUGUAGCUCCAAGAGCAAGCAGCAUUCCUGAGUGAAUCCUGGCUGAGGGGCUCUGGCUGCAGUGCUGUGUGUGCUGCCCCGAGGGCAGCAGCAGGGACUUUCAGGGGCAGCACUCAGCCCAAGGGCAUCACGCAGGGUUAUCUGCACUUUCUGUUGGGAACUUCCCCAGCCAGCCUCUGAAACAGGCAAACAAAAGCAAAGCAAUACUGGGUUUUCCUUGUUUCUUAGGGGAAGCAUUACUGCAGUUUGGUUGUAAACUAGAAGAGGGUAGAUUUAGAUCAGAUAUUAGGGACAAUUUUUUAUAAUGAAGGAGAUGAAAUGCUGAAAGGGAGUGCCUAUGGAAACUGUUGUUGAUCCAUCCUUGAAGGUGUUCAAGGCCAGUUUACAUGGGGCUCUGAGGAACCUGAUCUAGAUGAAAAUGUCCCUGUUUCCAGGGGUUGGACCAGAUGCUGGUUAAAGGGGCCUUCCGACCCGAACUCUUCUAGGAUUCAGUGAUUCUGUGAUCCUUGUCCCAUGUUAGUGUGCCAGUGUUCUACCUGAAGUUCUUUGGGGUAACAAAGGGAUUGGACCCAGCUCCAGCAAGUUUUCUGGUCCAUUCCAUCAUCACCAUAUCCAGGACCCUCCACUUACAAGCUCUUCUUUGUUCCCUGCAGGCUUUACCCAACCACCUGUCAAUGGCACAGCUUCCAGUGUGCAGAGAAAACAGCCUGGUAAUGCCUUGAGGAAGAAGGUCUUGAGGAAGCAGGACAAGGUGCCCAGUAUGUCCAUGGUCCAUGAGGAAGACAGAGUCCCAUGCAACUCCUCAGGGAGAAGAAGGAGAAGGGACUCUUCAGCAUCAAACACCUGGCUGAGUCCCAUUCAGAAGUCCUGCUCUCUAGACUUGGUGACAUUUGCUUGGCAGUUACCAGCGAGGUGAGAACAUUGUUUUGGAUUUUCCCAUGUACUUCAUGCACGGUGUAGAGUAGGUAUGUGCUUGUGUAUCUCCACGUGUACUCAGAGACUGCCUUCAUUUCUGGUUUUAGACCUUCUGUUUCUAAUGUCUGUCAGCUCUCUAGAGGAUCUGUGUGUCCAUUUAGCUGUAUUUACUGGCAGGUCGGGUAUCUGACACUCAUCUUUGAGUGAGCUGCCAUUAUAAUGAAAUGUGCAAUUGCAGAAACAGAUGCACUAAUUAUGUUAUUUGCCAGAGUCCUAAUCUCUGCCCAAGCUGUAAUGCAACACUGCAAAUUAUUCUGUAGACCUGAGCCUGUGUUUUCUGUUUCCUGGCUGAGUGCUUCAACUGCUGGUGU
rnacentral:lncRNA from 1 species